UAAGCGACUAAGCGUACACGGUGGAUGCCCUGGCAGUCAGAGGCGAUGAAGGACGUGCUAAUCUGCGAUAAGCGUCGGUAAGGUGAUAUGAACCGUUAUAACCGGCGAUUUCCGAAUGGGGAAACCCAGUGUGAUUCGUCACACUAUCAUUAACUGAAUCCAUAGGUUAAUGAGGCGAACCGGGGGAACUGAAACAUCUAAGUACCCCGAGGAAAAGAAAUCAACCGAGAUUCCCCCAGUAGCGGCGAGCGAACGGGGAGGAGCCCAGAGCCUGAAUCAGUGUGUGUGUUAGUGGAAGCGUCUGGAAAGGCGCGCGAUACAGGGUGACAGCCCCGUACACAAAAAUGCACAUACUGUGAGCUCGAUGAGUAGGGCGGGACACGUGGUAUCCUGUCUGAAUAUGGGGGGACCAUCCUCCAAGGCUAAAUACUCCUGACUGACCGAUAGUGAACCAGUACCGUGAGGGAAAGGCGAAAAGAACCCCGGCGAGGGGAGUGAAAAAGAACCUGAAACCGUGUACGUACAAGCAGUGGGAGCACAGAGCAAUCUUGUGUGACUGCGUACCUUUUGUAUAAUGGGUCAGCGACUUAUAUUCUGUAGCAAGGUUAACCGAAUAGGGGAGCCGAAGGGAAACCGAGUCUUAACCGGGCGUUAAGUUGCAGGGUAUAGACCCGAAACCCGGUGAUCUAGCCAUGGGCAGGUUGAAGGUUGGGUAACACUAACUGGAGGACCGAACCGACUAAUGUUGAAAAAUUAGCGGAUGACUUGUGGCUGGGGGUGAAAGGCCAAUCAAACCGGGAGAUAGCUGGUUCUCCCCGAAAGCUAUUUAGGUAGCGCCUCGUGAAUUCAUCUCCGGGGGUAGAGCACUGUUUCGGCAAGGGGGUCAUCCCGACUUACCAACCCGAUGCAAACUGCGAAUACCGGAGAAUGUUAUCACGGGAGACACACGGCGGGUGCUAACGUCCGUCGUGAAGAGGGAAACAACCCAGACCGCCAGCUAAGGUCCCAAAGUCAUGGUUAAGUGGGAAACGAUGUGGGAAGGCCCAGACAGCCAGGAUGUUGGCUUAGAAGCAGCCAUCAUUUAAAGAAAGCGUAAUAGCUCACUGGUCGAGUCGGCCUGCGCGGAAGAUGUAACGGGGCUAAACCAUGCACCGAAGCUGCGGCAGCGACACUGUGUGUUGUUGGGUAGGGGAGCGUUCUGUAAGCCUGUGAAGGUGUGCUGUGAGGCAUGCUGGAGGUAUCAGAAGUGCGAAUGCUGACAUAAGUAACGAUAAAGCGGGUGAAAAGCCCGCUCGCCGGAAGACCAAGGGUUCCUGUCCAACGUUAAUCGGGGCAGGGUGAGUCGACCCCUAAGGCGAGGCCGAAAGGCGUAGUCGAUGGGAAACAGGUUAAUAUUCCUGUACUUGGUGUUACUGCGAAGGGGGGACGGAGAAGGCUAUGUUGGCCGGGCGACGGUUGUCCCGGUUUAAGCGUGUAGGCUGGUUUUCCAGGCAAAUCCGGAAAAUCAAGGCUGAGGCGUGAUGACGAGGCACUACGGUGCUGAAGCAACAAAUGCCCUGCUUCCAGGAAAAGCCUCUAAGCAUCAGGUAACAUCAAAUCGUACCCCAAACCGACACAGGUGGUCAGGUAGAGAAUACCAAGGCGCUUGAGAGAACUCGGGUGAAGGAACUAGGCAAAAUGGUGCCGUAACUUCGGGAGAAGGCACGCUGAUAUGUAGGUGAAGUCCCUCGCGGAUGGAGCUGAAAUCAGUCGAAGAUACCAGCUGGCUGCAACUGUUUAUUAAAAACACAGCACUGUGCAAACACGAAAGUGGACGUAUACGGUGUGACGCCUGCCCGGUGCCGGAAGGUUAAUUGAUGGGGUCAGCGCAAGCGAAGCUCUUGAUCGAAGCCCCGGUAAACGGCGGCCGUAACUAUAACGGUCCUAAGGUAGCGAAAUUCCUUGUCGGGUAAGUUCCGACCUGCACGAAUGGCGUAAUGAUGGCCAGGCUGUCUCCACCCGAGACUCAGUGAAAUUGAACUCGCUGUGAAGAUGCAGUGUACCCGCGGCAAGACGGAAAGACCCCGUGAACCUUUACUAUAGCUUGACACUGAACAUUGAGCCUUGAUGUGUAGGAUAGGUGGGAGGCUUUGAAGUGUGGACGCCAGUCUGCAUGGAGCCGACCUUGAAAUACCACCCUUUAAUGUUUGAUGUUCUAACGUGGACCCGUGAUCCGGGUUGCGGACAGUGUCUGGUGGGUAGUUUGACUGGGGCGGUCUCCUCCUAAAGAGUAACGGAGGAGCACGAAGGUUGGCUAAUCCUGGUCGGACAUCAGGAGGUUAGUGCAAUGGCAUAAGCCAGCUUGACUGCGAGCGUGACGGCGCGAGCAGGUGCGAAAGCAGGUCAUAGUGAUCCGGUGGUUCUGAAUGGAAGGGCCAUCGCUCAACGGAUAAAAGGUACUCCGGGGAUAACAGGCUGAUACCGCCCAAGAGUUCAUAUCGACGGCGGUGUUUGGCACCUCGAUGUCGGCUCAUCACAUCCUGGGGCUGAAGUAGGUCCCAAGGGUAUGGCUGUUCGCCAUUUAAAGUGGUACGCGAGCUGGGUUUAGAACGUCGUGAGACAGUUCGGUCCCUAUCUGCCGUGGGCGCUGGAGAACUGAGGGGGGCUGCUCCUAGUACGAGAGGACCGGAGUGGACGCAUCACUGGUGUUCGGGUUGUCAUGCCAAUGGCACUGCCCGGUAGCUAAAUGCGGAAGAGAUAAGUGCUGAAAGCAUCUAAGCACGAAACUUGCCCCGAGAUGAGUUCUCCCUGACCCUUUAAGGGUCCUGAAGGAACGUUGAAGACGACGACGUUGAUAGGCCGGGUGUGUAAGCGCAGCGAUGCGUUGAGCUAACCGGUACUAAUGAACCGUGAGGCUUAACCU
rnacentral:rRNA from 1 species